GUUGAAUGACGUGCUCGCACUGAUUUCAACAAUGAAGCGAGUGGCGAACUGGUGAGUAACACGUGGGGAAUCUGCCCAGAAGCAGGGGAUAACACUUGGAAACAGGUGCUAAUACCGUAUAACAACAAAAUCCGCAUGGAUUUUGUUUGAAAGGUGGCUUCGGCUAUCACUUCUGGAUGAUCCCGCGGCGUAUUAGUUAGUUGGUGAGGUAAAGGCCCACCAAGACGAUGAUACGUAGCCGACCUGAGAGGGUAAUCGGCCACAUUGGGACUGAGACACGGCCCAAACUCCUACGGGAGGCAGCAGUAGGGAAUCUUCCACAAUGGACGAAAGUCUGAUGGAGCAAUGCCGCGUGAGUGAAGAAGGGUUUCGGCUCGUAAAACUCUGUUGUUAAAGAAGAACACCUUUGAGAGUAACUGUUCAAGGGUUGACGGUAUUUAACCAGAAAGCCACGGCUAACUACGUGCCAGCAGCCGCGGUAAUACGUAGGUGGCAAGCGUUGUCCGGAUUUAUUGGGCGUAAAGCGAGCGCAGGCGGUUUUUUAAGUCUGAUGUGAAAGCCUUCGGCUUAACCGGAGAAGUGCAUCGGAAACUGGGAGACUUGAGUGCAGAAGAGGACAGUGGAACUCCAUGUGUAGCGGUGGAAUGCGUAGAUAUAUGGAAGAACACCAGUGGCGAAAGCGGCUGUCUAGUCUGUAACUGACGCUGAGGCUCGAAAGCAUGGUAGCGAACAGGAUUAGAUACCCUGGUAGUCCAUGCCGUAACGAUGAGUGCUAGUGUGAGGUUUCGGCCCUCAGUGCUGCAGC
rnacentral:rRNA from 2 species